ensembl:lncRNA
ACCAUCUUAUUUCCUUCCUCUCAGAGAUCAUGACAACUGGCUGUUCCUAUGUGGAUGCUUGUCUAUCCAUGCCAAAUAGACACGGAGCUGGACGGGGCAUGACUCGAAAUGCUGUGGGUUGAUUACAGGAAAACCUUUGGAGUCAUUUUCUUUGGAGUGAGAGUUGGGAUGGUUUGCUGCAGACACCCAGAUGUUUGAUGCUAUGUCCUUUUAUCUUCACCUGCAUGAGGCUGCUUGAGAUACAUCACGACUCCUGUUCUCCAGCCUUCACACUCCAGGACUUAACACCAGCACCCCCCAAACUCCACUCCUCCAGCAAGACUCCCCUGGUUCUCAGGCCUUCCAACUCAGACUGGAUUACACCACCUCCAGCUUCCCCGAUUCUUCAGUUUACAGAUGGCACGUUGUGGGACUUUCCGGCUUCCAUUAUCAUAGAGAGAAAAACAGAGUGUUGCUCUGUCACCCUGGCUGGAGUGCAGUGGCACAACCGCAGCUCACUGCAGCCUCAAACUCCUGGGCUCAAGUGAUCCUCCCACCUCAGCCCCUCAGAGCACUGGAAUUACAGAUGGCAAGAUUGCUUUCCCUUCAUGGGUGGGCAGUGCAGAGCAGCAAUUUCUCAUCACAGUGGCCUGUCCCAGCAUUGACCUGUCCUGCUUUCCCCCAAAUUGAGAAAGCUAGUGCAUCCUGUGUCCAGCUGAGCUAUCCAUAAGAUUACUGUGAAGUUGGGAGAAAACUGGCAAGCAGAUCACCUGAAAGUGCUGGUUACGUGGUAGACGCUGGUGAAAGAUUCCCAUUGCCUUUCUUGGAUUUCGCUCAGCUCUAGAGAACUGUGUCGGCUCCUCCCCAUGCAUCUGGGCACAUUCUGUCCCCAGGUCCUGCCCCUGCUUAGUCUUAGCAAAUGGCACACCAGAUGAUUAUAUCCCGUGCCUGGCUUGGAAGGUCCCACGCCCACGGAGCCUCUCUCACUGCUAGCACAACAGUCUGAGAUUGAACUGCAAGGCCACAGCAAGGCUGAAGAGGGGGGUCUGCCAUUGCUGAAACUUGAGUAGGUAAACAAAGUGACCAGGGAAGCUCUAACUGGGUAGAGCCCACUGCAACUCAAGGAGGACUGCUUGCCUCUGUAGACUCCACGUCUGGGGACAGGCUGUAACUGAACAAAAGGCAGCAGAAACUUCUGCAGACUUAAAUGUCCCUGUCUGACAGCUUUGAAGAGAGCAGUGGUUCUCCCAGCAUGGAGUUUGAGACCUGAGAACGGACAGACUGCCCCCUCAAGUGGGUCCCUGACUCCCGAGUAGCCUAAAGGGGAGAUGUCUCCCAGUAGAAGCUCACUGACACCUCAUACAGCCAGGUGCCCCUCUGAGACGAAGCUUCCAGAGGAUCAGGCAGCAACAUUUGCCGUUCUGCUAUAUUUGCUGUUCUGCAGCCUCUGCUGGUGAUACACAGGCAAACAGGUUCUGGAGUGGACCUCCAGCAAACUCCAACAUACCUGCAGCUGAGGGUCCUGACUGUUGGAAGGAAAACUAACAAACAGAAAGGACAUCCACACCAAAACCCCAACUGUAUAUCACCAUCAUCAAAGACCAAAGGUAGAUAAAACCACAGAGAUAGGGAGAAACCAGAGCAGAAAAGCUGAAAAUUCUACAAAUCAGAGUGCCUGUUCUCCUCCAAUGGAACGCAGCUCCUCCCCAGCAACAGAACAAAGCUGAAUGGAGAAUGACUUUGACGAGUUGAGACAAGAAGGCUUCAGACGAUUGGUAAUAACAAACUCCUCCGAGCUAAAAGAGGAUGUUCGAACCCAUCGCAAAGAACUAAAAACCUUGAAAAAAGAUAAGACAAAUGACUAACUAGAAUAAACAGUGUAGAGAAGACUUUAAAUGACCUAAUGGAGCUGAAAACUAUGGCACAAGAACUAUGUUACGCAUGCACAAGCUUCAGUAGCUGAUCCCAUCAAGUGGAAGAAAGGGUAUCAGUGAUUGAAGAUCAAAUGAAUGAAAUGAAGUGAGAAGAGAAGUUUAGAGAAAAAA